rnacentral:lncRNA from 1 species
CGCCACAGACGCAGUGAGACAUAUGGGAUGAGACAGGAUGUUGAAUGGUGCUAGUUUGUACUAGCUAGAGUGUGUGCUAGGUAGGUAGUUUGUACUAGCUAGAGUGUGUGCUAGGUAGGUAGUUUGAACUAGCUAGGUAGGUAGUUUGUGGUAGGUAAUUUGAACUAGCUAGGUAGGUAGUUUGUACUAGCUAGAGUGUCUGCUAGGUAGGUAGUUUGUACUAGCUAGAGUGUCUGCUAGGUAGGUAGUUUGUACUAGCUAGAGUGUCUGCUAGGUAGGUAGUUUGUACUAGCUAGAGUGUCUGCUAGGUAGGUAGUUUGUACUAGCUAGAGUGUGUGCUAGGUAGGUAGAUUGUACUAGCUAGAGUGUCUGCUAGGUAGGUCGUUUGUACUAGCUAGAGUGCACUAGCUAGGUGCACAAGCAACAGUGGUUAACAUAACGUCCUGGACCAGAGCGAGUGCGCCGACUGGUAUGUGCGUAGCACACUGACGCUCUGAAACAAAGCUAUAGACUCACGCGAUACAAGAAACCAACAAAUGUCAACAGGUUGCGAGCACACAUACCAUUCCAGAUGGAAAAAUGCCAUCUGAGACGCAUGCGCUUUGAGGUUUGUAGACCACACAGACCACGCGGCGCA